CAUAGGAACUAUUCAAUGGUUUUAUUCAUACAAGCAAAAGUUCUAAAUAAAGUAGCAAGAUUAUUAUGUUCUUGCUACUUCCAUUACAAAGGAUUACAUUAAUAAUACAUAAUUAAGCACUAAUUAAUUAGUUCUGUGGCUCAGAUUCAGUGGCUAUUCCCAAGGCCAUGUAUUCUUCAUAGGUGCAGCAUUUGUGAUAUUUGCAUUUAUGGUAACAUCCUUUAUGAUAGCCACCCUUUUUAUAGCCACCUCCGCCAUAGUAAUGGUCAACAUCUACUUCUUUUUCCGCUGCAUCGAUGAAUUGAGAAUAUUAAAACUAGUGAAUAUGCAUUGACUGAUCUUUGAAUUGAAAUUUCUUUUACUAUACAUAUAUUUAUAUAAAUUUUUUUGUUUUAAUCUGAUAUGUUUAAGUUCGCAAGAUUCAAAGGAUAUUUUAAUAUGUUCUACACACAUUUAUAUAAAUUGGUUCUUUUUUUUUUUUUUUUCUUUGGAAUGAAUUCAAUUACAUAAAGAGAAUGAAAGAUGGUACUUACAGUUGGGAGUCUCAGUCAAGUUGGGAGUCUCAGAUUCAGUGGCUAUUCCCAAGGCCAUGUAUUCUUCAUAGGUGCAGCAUUUGUGAUAUUUGCAUUUAUGGUAACAUCCUCCUUUAUGAUAGCCACCCUUUUUAUAGCCACCGCCGCCAUAGUAAUGGUCAACGUCUACUUCUUUCUCCGCUGCAUCGAUGAAUUGAGAAUAUUAAAACUAAUGAAUAUACACUGUCUAAUCUUUGAAUUGAAAUUUCUCUUACUAUACAUAUAUCUAUAUAAAUUUUUAGUUUCAAUAUAAUAUAUUUAAGUUCGCAUGAUUCAAAGGAUAUUUUAAUAUGUUCUACACACCUUUAGUUUAGUUUAUAAGGAUUGAAAAGUUUAUGCUAUAUUCUUCAAAUUCAUGCAUAGCGAGUGAGACAUAAAAUGAAGCAUAAGGAAGGUAUAUCAAGUGUCAUGAUCAAGCUAGUGUUAGUAAAACAUUAGCUUAUCGUCUAACAUUCAUAAAACCUUACAAAUUUUAAUUCAUGGUCUAAUUUUAUAUGCUGGACAUAUCUUUAAUAUGUUACUUUUUUUUUUAUUUAAAGUUAAUUACCCAGAGAUUCGAUGGAAAGAGCAAUAAAAACGCAUAAAGUAAUGCGUAAAGAUAUGCUAAUAUGCCUACAUAGUAACAUCAAUAGUUUUUUUUUUUUUUCUUCGAAUGAAUUCAAUUACAUAAUGAAAGAUAUACUUACUGUUGGGAGUCUCACUCAACUCCCUAGCUACUACUUCGGAGCUUAUCAUUAAGAAAAUAGCCAAAAAUAGGCCUAGCAAUAGAAAUGUUUUGGAACCCAUUCUUUUUUUAUUCCAAAGCUUAGUACUUAUAAUAACUCAAAAUUGAGGGAUGAAGAAACUGAUACAUUCUUGGGCUCUAUUUAUAGGAAGAUUUAUGUGCAUAAAUAAUUGAAGAGAGAUGUAAAACUAGGAGGGGGAGGGACAUGUAUUGGGAUGCAAUUAUUGUUGUGGACCAAAGAAACUUAACAACUUGGUCUACAAGUGAGUUAAAAGAGAUUGUUGAAUUAACUUACUCAAAUUUUUUUUUAAAGUGACAACUCUAACAAGUUUUGUUGUUACUAUAGUAAAGUUGUAAGUAUAUUCUUAAUCUUAAUCAAAUAUUUUAAACUUGAGUUUUGCAUAUGAAGAUCAUUUGUUGACAGUGUUUUAUCAUCUGAAACUUUUUGGUGUGUAUUCCAAAUUUAAUUUAGAUCUAAUACAAAUAUAGUGAUAUAUGAAUACUAGACAUCGAAUGAAACAUAAAAUAAAGUAAAAAAACAAGUCAUCUACAAAGUGUAGGCGUUGCAAGAAAAGUUUUCACAAUGUUCCAACUAAGAAAAUAAAACAAAAAAGAAAAUGAAGAACCUAACGGAUAUUGUGAGUGAUUUUGUUGAAUAUUUUGUCAAUUUGAAUUAUGACAAACGCUUUAUUAGUCACGCAAAUAUUAUGACUUAAUAAGGGUGUGUUUUGCAUGAAGAAAAAUGUUUUUUCAUGAAAUACAUUUUCAUAGAAAAUAUUUUCUCGAAAUAUAAGUGAUUUUUUUAGUUAAUUUUUGAUAAGUAAGUAAAACUGUAAAAGAAUAUUAUAAUAUUAAGAACAUUUAAAUAAAUCUCGCAAUAAGAGGGUUGGAGAAUGAGGGUGAACGGGUAAAAUACUCAAGGGUUGUAGGUGUUGGAAAGCAAAAUUGAAGUAGAUAAAUUUAAUAUUUAAGUUUUAAAAUAUGAAUGUUUGAAAACUCUGUAAAAAUGCUAUAAGCUACUCUCUUCGUUUUAAAUUACUUAACCUCUUUGUACUUGACCCACCCUUUAAGACGCAAAACGAUUGAAGGUGUAUUUUUACCCUUAUAUCCUAAUAUUUAAGCAAUGAUUAUGGAGCAGAAGCCAAAAAUCAAUUUAUUUGAAAAAUUAGAUUUAUUAAACAAAAAUGACUAUGGAGUAGUACUAAAAGGGAGCAAGGAUCGUUUACAUUUAAAUGACUUUGGAAUUAAAUAAUUCUAUUUUUAAAAUUUUUAGAAAGUAUAAUGCUUAAUAGGGAUGAAAGUGAAAAAAGAAAUCUAAAAUAAUCUCAAUUUUAUAAACAUGAUAAGUAAUUUAAAAUAAAUAAAUAUAAAAAAUAGGCCAAAAAAUUUAAAAGAGAAAGAAUAUAAUAAUAUUAAUAUAAUAGAAAAAAUGCAUCUUAAGUUGUUAGUAAUUCAUCUGCAAUGAAACACCGUUAAAGUAGAUUUGGGUUGGUGGCCCAGAAAUUAAUGCACGUAGAAAAUUUCAAAGUCUUACUUAUCAACAGAGGCGGACGUAGAGUAGAAGCAAAAAUCCAUAUCUGUUAUUGUAAGACUUAAAAUUAUAUAGAGAAAUCGUUAAAAGUUAUAAAUAUUAAUAGGUAAGAACCAUAACUAAACCAAAGGAUAGCUUAGUGGCAAGAAAAGAGCCCUUAAAAAUCCACAAAUUCAAAAUUUUGAAUCCGCCUAUGCUUAUCAAUUGACUUAUCAAAGGCUCUUCCAUCUUGCUCUGCUGCCACAUCACUUAAUCUUCUCCAAAAAAAUAUUUUUCAUGAAAAAUAAUAUAAUUCCACCCAAUGACAAAUAUUAUUGGCAUAUAUAAGGUGUGUUCGUUAUGAUACUUUUUAAAAAAUAAUUUUUUAAAAUAAAACUAGAAAAAACAAAUUUUACUAACAAAACUUAUCUUCACCAACCCAUCCCCAUUCCCCAUCAAUCCAUAUUCCAUACCCCCACCGUCAUCUAGCACAUGGAUGGCACCACCUUCUUCUUAGGCGAAAGGUGGCUCAGUGCAUACUAUUUAUCAAAAAAUAAUGUGUUCUACUAAAAUUAAAGAUUAGUUAUUAUGAAUAUUUAUUUAAUUUUACAUAAUUAAAAAAGAUUUACACACACUUCAUUAAUAUAAUAUCCCUUGACUUACCUAUCGAACUCAAUAAAAUAAGUACCUACAUAUUUCUUUGAGAUCUAAUACAUCCAAUGUCAUAAUUCAUUCAAUAUUAAUAUAUAAUUAGAUAUAUAUUUUCGUAUUUAUUUUUAAAAAUUUGCCCAACUUGUAAGUUGUAGGACUACCUUAUCCUAAAAUAUCUAGAAGUAGUGGUGCAUACAUACUCUUUGAUAUAGUCAAUAUUUAGAGAAUUAAAUGACGAAUUCAAUGACUCUUUUAGUGUACGAUCAAGUUUAAAUAAGAGGGGACAAAUCUCUUCGAUUUGAUUAAAACUGGAGAAAAGUCUUCCAGAAAAGACCCAACAAUACAACAAUAAAAAUUCUUAUUUGUUUGGCCUAAUGCAUGGUAGAGUCAGAAUUUCUAGUAAAUGGAUUUUAAAAAUAAUUAACCAUGUUAAUAGGACUUUAAAAAUAAAUAGAUCAAAUUUGAUUUGAGUAAGUUAGACAAAGUUUCAACUUUACCUCAACAUGAAUAACAAAAUAUAGAAAGUUAAACUUUUUUAUUUUGAUCAUGCGGUCAAACAUACAAUCUUUAAAUUUUUUUUUAAAAUAAAUUACAUAUUUAGAAAUUACAUAAAAAGUAUAAUAAAUUACCAGAAUUGAAUUUUACGUUUAAGUUGUUUAUACAUUAACAUAAUAAACUAAUACUAAUUUUCUCUUAAUUUUAAGAAGAGAAGAUCUAAAAUAUUUUAAAUCAGUCAAAAUAGAUAAACAACAAACAAAAGUAUAAUUUUGUGAAAAAAAAAAAGUUAACCAUCAAAUUAAUAACCUGAAAAGUGAGAGAUAAGAGAAAUCAAAAGAGGGACAGAAUGUAAGAGAACAAGAAAGUAAUUAAGUAACUAGAAAUUUAAUCCCAAAGCUAAUAUAGAAGAUACAAAAAAAUGAUGUUAUUCAGACUCGAAUGCACGCUGAAUCAGAAAUUUUGCACCCUUCACCAUUGAACUAAGCUUUAGCCUUCUUUUCGAUGGUGGAAGGACCACGCUAGUCCUUUGAGUGUGUGGUGUGUAGUGGGUGCGUCUUAGUGUCUUCUUACUACGUGUCAAUGGGAUUCGGUGCUUAACAUAUAUACAAUAAAUCAAAAUUUUGAUUGUAUAUACACAGUGUAAUUUUUUGAAGAAGGGGGGUCGAUGAACCCCUGGACUCCAUGUAGAUCCGACAUUGCCUAAUAGAGUUUAUAUAUGUGUGUAUGUAUAUAUAUACACACACACUCAUAUACACACAUAUAUAUAUAUUGAUGGCAUAAAAUAUUCGUAUAUUAUUUAUUCAUCUUUAAAAUGUUUAUAAUUACUUUUUAGUAUUUAUGUUUUAGAGGAUGCACAGAAGACACAUAAAAUUUCAUAUUUUUAACACAAGUAUCUUAAUUCCUAAGUUGAUGAGGAAAAAAAAAAUGAGCAAGACAUAAGUCAACAGAGAUAUAUUUAGACUUAGAGGUCGUUUAAUAGAGUGUAUUAAAAUGUUAAUGCAUACAUUGGUUUAAUGUCUAUUAGUAGUACCUUGUUUGGUAUACCUUUUUAUCCUAUGUAUAACUAAUGCAAACAUUAGUUAUACACUCUAUUGUGUAUUAAGGUGUAUAUUACUAAUAACUCAAAAUUCAUGCAUUAACAUACUUAAAGACUCAAUUAUCCCUCAAAAAUUUUUUUGCAUCUUUUCCAACAUAUAUAUUGAGGGUAUUAUGUAAAAAAAAAAUUUUUUUUUAGAAAUUAUGUAAUUCAUGUUUUUUUAAUACAUCGAAGCAAACACUAUAUAAGAAAAAUAUAAAUAUAACUAAUACAAAUAUUAUUAAUACUAGCAUUACUAAUAUAUUAUAUUUUGUAUUAUUGUUAUACAUUUUACCAAACGAUCUCAUAGUGAUGGAGAGAGAAAUACUGUUUUGGAUCUUAUUGCUCCACGAUAUGAGAGAAUUUUCUAAAAGCUGACAUGAGCCACUAGUGCUUUUUUCUGCAUAAUACACAUAUAUUCUCACAUGCAAGUGUACAAGUAGGACCCAUAAGAGUGCAAGAGGAUUUAGCAUUCUUCAUACCAAACUUCUCAAGGAGCUCUUUGGUAUAUUUAUUUUGGCAAAGAAAGGUCCCCUCAGAUGACAGAUGUAUUUGCCAACUCAAAAUGAAUGUUGAUUUUUCUAUUAGAAUUUCCUUGCAUUAGAACAAAAUUUUUUUGCAUAAGACAAUAUUAUUACUUCCAAAGAUAACAUCAUAGAUCUGAAUAAUUAAGUUUUCAGAGGAAAUUCUUAUGAUAAAAGGAGUUGUAUUAAUUUCUUUUUUUAAAAAAAUAAAAUUGCGAUAAAGAAAUUGAUCUAUUUAUCAUAUCAAGCUCGAGAAGCUUGUUUUUAAAUCACAGAGAAUUUUUUGAAAGUUUAAAAACAUGAUUGGAAACCUAUGAUUUUCAAAACCUGAGGUUUUUACAAAAACUUAAUAAACCCAUUUAAAAACAUCCAUUUAAACAAGAUUUGAAUAGAUUCUAACCUUGUAACUGUUGCAAAAGUUUUAUCAUAAUUGUCUCCCUCUUGUUGUGAGUAGCCUUGAGCUAUUAGACAAACUUUUUUCUCCCAUAACUUUAUCUGAUUCAUUCAUCUCAUUUGGUUAUAAUGAUUAAGGCAUUCUCUAGUCCACACAUUAUUUUUAUCAAUUUGCUCGAGCUCUUUUUUCAUUGUUUUGACCCAAUAAUCAUCUUUUGAAGUCGCAUUCACUUUCAUUAGAUCAAGUUGAGAUAUGAAGGCAAUAUUUGCAUGUCUUUAACUGGAAUCUCUUAUAAGCCAUUAUUUUGAUCAUCUUAAUUAAGUGAUCGAUCAUGUUCACUUUGGAAUUGCUCCAAGUUCAAUUUGAUGCUUUAGAGGCAGCAGUUAAGCAGACAAUAAACUUAGUAGUAGAGUCAACAACAUUUCCCCCCUAUUAUUAUGAACAAAGCAUUUGUAUGAAAGUGCACAAUGUUGGGCCUUUGGUUGUUUCAAAUUUUGUAAAGAGUUUUCUUAAAUAAAUCUGCUGAGGCAUUUAUUGCUUUGCCAUUGGAGCUAUCUGUAAAACAUACUUCAAAAUCAUUUUCUUCUUCAAAUAAGCUUUGUACCCUGUGAAUUGAAUUUCCACUUUCAAGCUUCCAUUUCCUAUUAGCUUUUGAGUGGAGUUCCUGCAAAAUAAUUAUAUUACUUAUUUCUAUGUACCCAAGUGUUCUUAGGUAUCCCAUGGUUAGUUAAAUGUGUUGACUCAAUUUUGAGUCUCCAAAUUCAUUUGCUAGAAUUUCUAGAUCGAAAUCUGCAAUUAUAGUAUUUGUAAUUCGGUUUACCACGGUGAUAAUAAGAAGUAAGUAUUGUUCAGUGACUGCAUAAUAGGUAUUAUAAUUGUGAGUAGUUCUUUUAAUCGAUCGACUCGAGUUUAUUGACCGUUGAGAUCCUUCAUAGCUAUAGAAUCUACUAUUACAAGUUCCAGUGUCACAUUUGUCAGUUGACUGCGUCAACUGAAUUGAUCUGACAAUACUAUGACUUGUAGAUUUCGAAAGUCAUUAAUUUUAAUUUUUAAAUCAUCAACUUCUUAAUAUAAAUAAUUUUUUUCGAUUUCAUAAACUUCAAGUUUAAGUUUUCAGUCUCUUCUCUCUCUUAAUAAAGCCCUUUUUCUCAUCAUGGGCUUUAUUUCGAUCCGCGCUGGCAAGAUCUAACAGAUUUUACAGUUUAGAACAUUCAUUAUAGGAAUUGGUUCUUACCUAACUAGACUUUUCAAUUUUCAUGAAAUAACAGUCUCCAAUACUAUUGUUAUCAUGGUCGACUUGUUCUUUAUCAUCUUAGCCUUUUGAUUUUUUUUUUUUUCAUGGACUCUACAUGAAUAGAUUUCAAUUUGUUUCAUAUUUCUUUAGUUGUUUACAGGUGGAUAUUUUCUCACAUUCUUUUCCACUAAGAGCACAACGAAGCAAGUAGAUUGCCCUAACAUUUGUUUGCACAAUAUCCAAAUGUUCUUUUGUGUAGUCAAAUGUGACGGUCUUUUUUUCAAAUUUCUUUUCAUUAUUUUUCAAAAUCUGCCUUGGCCCAUUUUGAAUAACUAGUCAUGCUUUAUAAUUUGUUGAUUGAACGUAAGUGUUCAUUUUUGUGUUUCACUGACUAUAGUAUAGACUGUUAAGGAAGGUUGAUUGGCUUAUUGAAAGUCCCUCUUGAAAUAUGACUUCAGUAAUUUGAUAUUCUGCCAUGAAUCUGUAUUCAUUUUUUGUUAAGCAAAAACGGAGAUGUGAGACGAGGCUUUGAUAUCAAUUGAAAGUAGUAAGACGAGGAAAGGGGUGAAUUACUCUUGUUUUGACCAAACAAUCGACUUCAUUCAACAAUUAGUCGACUAUUGAUUGUAGUAAUAAAGUGUUCAGGAAAUAAGGAGCUGAAGAUAAAAUUAAACUAGAUAUUUGAUACUAAUUGAGACCUCUAAUUGGGUUUUACUUCAAUCUCCUUGGAUUGCAAGGGAUUCUACUAGUUCUUUAUGAAUAAAAUCAAAGUACAAGAUUGAGUCAAGUUUUUUGACUUUGACUCACCCUCUCUUCUUUUCUUUCAUACUUCGAUACAAUGUCUCAUCAAAUAUGUGUUUCUCUCCUCGAUCUCUUUUUAAGUACACAGUAAACGUUUAAGAGAAUACAUUGCUUGAGUAAAGUAGAGCAAAGAACUAGAAAAAAUUGAGACAAGUGUAUAUCUCUUUCUUAGUUUUUCAUUGCUUAAAUAGUACUGAUUAGACUACUACUAAUCAUUGAAAAAUAUGAGGCAACCCAAGAAUUUUUUUCCUUGAAAAUAAGAUAAAAAAAUCUUAUUUUCAAGAAUAGAAUGAAUCAUAUUAAUGAUUCCAAACUAUCCAUAAUAUUAUUUCAUAGAACUAGUCACACGCUUAAUGAAAUAUCAUGUUGUGGUACUUCUUUUCAUAGUGAUGCGGAUUUGUGAUUACCCUUGAAAGAGGAUACAUGUUUCUUUUCCCUUUUUAAAUUGAUUCUUUGAAAAAAAAAUUAUUUGCAGCCAAUUUUCCUUUUUAAUUGUAGUGAAGAAUAUUUGAUACUAUUUUCAGAGAUCGGGCUUUCUGAUUUGUAGCCACUUUUUCUUUUUAUUGUACCCAAGAAUCUUUGACAUCAAUAUACCUGCAGAGGAAGUCAUAUAUUAAAACAUCAGAUUAUCACAAAUCUCCGAUACCCAACAUAUUAUUUCUAUAAUAUGAAUUUUCUUCUUGGGUACAAAAUUUUAGAACAAAAAUGUCUGAACAGAUCGAGCAACAAUGAAAUUAGCUAUCCUCAUUGUUAAUUUAAAGCUAAAUUACUUGUAAUUAAUUAACAAACUUUUCAAUGAUUUAUUGCUAAUCCUUAGUCAAGUAAGAUUAACAAUAAUGCAUUAGCGAAGAAUCUUGUUAUUUUGCUAUAAAUUAAUUUGUCCAUCUUUAUUUUCUAGUAAUGAUAUUCUAAUUUUAAUGUUGUCCAAUUUGUAAUCAUUCCCCCUAAUUAUCUUCUCUAUCAAUCGACGAUAUUGUUGCAACUGAACAAUUGAAACCAUUAAAACUCAAUGAGACACCAAUAUAUGCUUGGACGGAUGAUCACCUUGUCUAUGUCCUAUUUACACUUCAAAGAAAUAUAAUUAAUCACCUUGGGUGUGUUUGGUACGAAGGAAAACAUUUUCCAGAAAAUGUUUUCCAAUUUUGUUGUGUUUCGUUGGCUUAUAUGUUUUGAAAAAUAUUUUUCAAACCAACUUAUUGUUCUUAAAUCUAAGGAAAAUGACUUCCUUCAAAGAGUAAGGAAAACAUUUUCCAAAACUCUCAUUCAAUCUCACUUUAAAGUUGAAAUAUUCGUACAAUUCUCAAAAUCAUCUAACUCGCCCCCUUGCCUCUCCCCCAAUACCCUAUCACCCCGACACUACCCCUACCCCCACCCCCAAAAUUUCAUUAUUUUAAAAAGUAUUUCAAAAUUUUUUCUUAAUCCAUCCCUUACCUCCACCCCACCCCUCUUCCAAAAAACAAUAUCUACAUUUUACUAAAAAAUUCAAACUUUUCUCUUAUCCCCCUUCCCUCCCCCCACCAGCCUCUCUCCCAUCCCUCCAUCCCAUAACCUAAAGAAAAAAAUUAAAUUUAUUUUUAAAAAAAUUUCAAUUUUUUUCCUCCCCCUUCCCCCUUCCCCCUCACUCCCCUAUCCUGACCCCUAGCUCCAGGGACGGACCCACGUGUAAUUUUGGAGUGCUUCGACACCCACUAAAUUCGACGUAGAUUAGGUAUAAUUAUAUAAAAAAUACAGAAUAAAUGGUAUAAUUUAUUAAAAAGCACCCAGAGAACAAACAUAUGGUUAGGUGUUCCCCCUCCCCCUCCCCCUAAAUUCAAUUUUUUUUCUUAUCCCGCCCCUACUACCUAUUCUGACACCCCCACCCACUCACCAACCAAUCCCCUUCCCAAAAAAAGAUUUAAUUUUUUUAUUUUUUAUUUAAAAAGGAUUCUAAAAUGUAUUUUUACGCUUUAUCUAAACACUAAUAUGUAUUUUUUGAAAAAUAUUUUUUCAUUCACCAACCAAAUAUUAGAAAUUCUCCAACCAAACAUGAAAAAUAAGUAAGAAAUUAACUUGUUUUCCAAGAAAAUAUUUUCUAGAAAAACAUUUUCAAUGGAAAACAUUUUCCUUCGUACCAAACACACCCAAGUCUAAGUCCAUUCUAUACUUCAAAGCAUAUAUACUAAUUGCUUCCUAUGACAUAGUAUGAGAUUUGUAAAGACCUGACACCUGGAUUUAAUUUAAUCCUAUGAACACACCCAAGUCUAAGUCCAUUCUAUACUUCAAAGCAUAUAUACUAAUUGCUUCCUAUGACAUAGUAUGAGAUUUGUAAAGACCUGACACCUGGAUUUAAUUUAAUCCCAAAAGUUAGAUAAUGUGAGAGGAUUGUCUAAAUUCAUAUAAGCAAACCUUCAAUCCAUUUUUCAUUUAACGUGGGACUUUUACUCACUCAAACAUUCUUUUCAUGCCUAGGGCCCAACUGACACGUAGAUUGGGAGACCAAACUAGGAUGAACUUCACUCUGAUACCAUAUAAAAAUAUGACACCUGCACCUAACUCAACCACAAAGCUAGCUCAUGGGAAGAGGAUUGUCCAAAUCCAUAUGUGUUGGGUUCGAAAUCGAGAGGGCGUCAUGCGGAAGCUAUUAGUUGCAAACUAUGAGACGAUAAAUAAGAUGACAACGAAAAACAAUACUAAAAACAUAAUUUUAUUAUAUGAUUUGGCCAAUUGGCCUACAUAUAAAACCUAAUAUUAAAAAAUAUAAAACUGAGAAAAUCUCCCCCUAAACGAAAAUCUUAAAAGACUACAUUGUGGAUGCUAUUAUUGUGUUAUGGUAUGAGAAGGGAUUUUCUAUUUAUAGAUAUCCAAAACCUUUCCUCCAAGAAAGAGGCUAGGCAAAUAUGGAAAAGAAUUAUAUUGUUUCCUUUCGAGAAAAGUAAAAGUAAUUAUGGUAACUUUUAUUUUCCUUCUAAGAAAAAGUAAAACUUAAAUAUAGUAAGAAAAUCAGGGCAAAAACCCUAACAAGACUUUCACCCACUUAAUUAACAAGAUUGAUGUAACGACAGUUAUGAUUUAUUUACAAAUUUGUUCUAGAAAUUCAUACGUAUUAGAAUUUAUUCCAGAAAUAUCCCUCGGCAAUAAUAAUAACAUACUUAGAACAUUCCCCCUCACGUGCUGACUUAUUUUUUUGGUCAUGGGUCAAGCACAUGAAAAUUCUUUUUAAUAAUGGGUGGCAGUGAGAUUCGAUUCCAGGACCUCUGCCUGCUCUAAUACCAUGUUGAAGUUUGUAACCAUCUAAUUUAAAAGUUUAAGUUGUUAGAGAGAGCACACUUUUAUUAUUUAAUUAUAUUCUCACCAGAGAAAUUGUUUUUGAAGGACCCUUGGCUCAAGGAUACCAACUCCAAGUAAAAAAAAAAAAUAAUGAGUAAAAAACAUAUCGAUUAAUAAGUAAAGCAAUGCAAAGCCUGCCAAAAAACGAACAAUAACAACAACAUAAUGAAAAGAAAUAUUUAAUAAGUUAAAGAUGAUAUAAUAAAUACUUUAAAAUAAGAUGAAAAUGAAAAGUAAACUUUACGAAAACAUUUUUUUUUUCAACACAAUAUAAUAUAUAUCAUACAACAGAACAUUACAUGACCAUGACCAACCAUCCAUAGGAACUAUUGAAUGGCUUUAUUCAUACAAGCAAAAGUUCUAAAGUUGCAAGAUUUUUAGGGUUUUGCCACUUAUAUUACAAAGGAUUACAUUAAUAAUACAUAAUUAAGCACUAAUUAAUUAGUUCUGAGGCUCAGAUUCAGUGGCUAUUCCCAAGGCCAUAUAUUCCUCAUAGGUGCAGCAAUGGUGAUAUUUGCAUUUAUGGUAACAUCCUUUAUGUUUAUAUCCUCCACCCUUAUAAUAAUGGUCACCUCCAACACCAUCAACGUCUACUUCCUUCGCUGCUGCAUCGAUGAAUUGAGAAUAUUAAAACUUAUGCAUAUCUAUUGAUGACUGAUCUUUGAAUUGAAAUUUCUAUUUAUGUGUUGUACUUUUCAUUUAAUUUUGUUAUAGUUUUAAGAUAAUUUCUAUCAUGACUAUAUAUAUAUGUAAAUAAAUUUUUUGUUUCAAUCUGAUAUGUUUAAGAUCACAAGAUUCAAAGGAUAUUUUAGUAUGUUCUACACACUUUUAGUUUAGUUUGGAUUGAAAAGUUUAUGCUAUAUUCUUCAAAUUCAUGCAUAGUGACUGAGACAUAUAAAAUGAAGCAUAAGGAAGGUAAAUUAAGUGUCAUGAUCAAGCUAGUGUUAGUAAAACAUUAGGUUAUCAUCUAACAUUCAUAAAACCUUACAAAUUUUAGUUCAUGGUCUAAUUUUAUAUGCUGGACGUAUCUUUACUAUGUCACUUUUUUUAUUUAAAUUCAAUUACCCAGAUAUUCGAGGCAAAGAGCGAUGAAAACACAAAGUAAUGCGUAAAGAUAUGCUAAUAUAACACAGUAACAUCAAUUGUUUCUUGUUUUUUUUUUUUUUUCAAUGAAUUCAACUACAUAAAGAGAAAAUGAAAGAUGAUACUUACAGUUGGGAGUCUCAGAUUCAGUGGCUUUUCCCAUGGCCACAUAUUCUUCAUAGGUGCAGCAUUUAUGAUAUUUGCAUUUAUGGUAACAUCCUUUAUGAUAGCCACCCUUUUUAUAGCCACCUUUGCCACCAUAGUAAUGGUCAAGAUCUACUUCUUUCUCCGCUGCAUCGAUGAAUUGAGAAUAGUAAAUCUAAUGCAUAUGCACUGACUGAUCGUUGAAGUGAAAUUUCUCUUAUUAUAAAUUAUGGCUGUCAAGUGGGCCGGGCCAACCUGGCCCUACUCGGCCCACUUAAAUAAAUCAGCCCAGUAAGCCCUAUGGCUUUAGGGUUUCAGGUCCCGGGCCGGUUAUUUUUUUAAUUUGGGCCUGGUUAACCCGACUCGGACCUAGCUCGGUCCAGGCCCGUCGGUUAACCGACCCCGCCCAGCCCGGAGUCUUUUUAUUUUUUUAAAUAAUUAUUUUUUUGUAUAAAUUAGUAUAUAACUAUACAAAUAUAUAUUCUAAUGUGUGUGUGUGUAUAUAUAUAUAUAUAUUAUAAUAUAUUUCAUUUAAUGUAUUACAUAUACAUAGAGUAGAGUGUAUAUAUGUGAAUAGAUCUUCUAUAGAAGUGUAUAUUUAACGUAUACAUGUUUAUAUAUUUUAUAAAUUAGUGUAUAACUAUACAAAUAUAUAUUGUAAUGUAUAUAUAUUGUAGUAUAUCUCAUUUAAAGUAUUACAUAUACAUAGAAUAGAGUGUAUAUAUGUGAAUAGAUCUUCUAUAGACGUAUAUAUUUAACGUAUACAUGUGUAUAUAUAUAUAAUUAUAUAUGUAUAUAUUGUAGUAUAUUUUAUUUAAACUUUAAAGUUUAAAGUAGUACAUAUAUAUUUGGAUGGUGCGUAUAUAUGUGUAAUUGUGUAUAUGUGUAUAUAUUUUUUAAAUUUUAAUGUAGUAUAUACUAUAUAUAUAGUGUAUAUAUAUUGUUUAACGUAUUUGUAAUGUAUAUAGGUGGGUAUAUAUAAUGUAUAUUGAAAUUUUUUUAUUUUUGACCGGGUUUGAUCGAUUUUUUAAUCGGGUUUGACAGGGUUUAGGUGGGUUUGACCGGGUUGGGUUAAGUGGGUCCGGUUAGGGUGGUUUUUGAUUUUUUUACUGUUGGGCCCAGCCCAGACUGGCCCACUUAGACCCCAACCCGGAACGGCCCUCAACCCGGUUAAAUAACAUGGGCCGGUUCCGGGUUGGCCUGACCCGGCCCACUUGACAGCCAUACUAUAAAUAUAUUCAUAUAAAUUUUUAGUUUCAAUCUGGCAUGUUUAAGUUCACAUGAUUCAAAGGAUAUUUUAGCACGUUUUACACACUUUUAGUUUAUAUUCUUCAAAUUCAUGCAUAGUGACUGAGACGUAUAAAAUGAAGCAUAAGGAAGGUAAACUAAAUGUCAUGAUCAAGCUAGUGUUAGUAAAACAUUAGGUUAUCGUCUAACGUUCAUAAAAUCUUACAAAUUUUAGUUCAUGGUCUAAUUUUAUAUGCUGGGCGUAUUUUUAAUAUGUCACUUUUUUUUUUUAUUUAAAGUCAAUUACCCACAGAUUCUAGAGAAAAAGCAAUAAAAAUGCAUAAAGUAAAGCAUAAAGACAUGCUAAUACGCCUAACAUAGUAAAAUAAGUAAUGCCUAAAGAUAUGCUAAUAUGCCUUUCUUUUUUUUUUUUUCUUCGAAUGAAUUCAAUUACAUAAAAAGAUAAAUGAAAGAUAAUACUUACAGUUGGGAGUCUCACUCAACUCCCUAGCUAUUACUUCGGAGCUUAUCAUUAAGAAAAUAGCCAAAAAUAGGCCAAGCAAUAGAAAUGUUUUGGAACCCAUUCUUUUGUUUUUUUCAAAGCUUAGUACUUAUGAUAAUUGAAAAUUGAGGGAUGAAGAAACUGAUACAUUCUUGGGCUCUAUUUAUAGGAAGAUUUAUAUGCAUAAAUAAUUGAAGAGAGGUGUAAAACUAGGAGGUGGGAGGGACAUGUAUUGGGAUGCAAUUAUUGUUGUGGACCAAAGAAACUUAACAACUUGGGUCUACAAGUGAGAGUUAAAGUCUUAAAGAGAAUGCUAGAUUUAACUUAUUCCGUAAUUUUUAAAUAACAGCACUAACAAGUUUAGUUAUUAUGGUAGUGAAGUUGUAACAAUACUAUUUUAAUGAAAUAUUUAAGUUUAUGCUUUGCAUGUGAAGCCUCAUUUGUUAGGCAUUGUUUUAUUCUAUGAAACUUUUUGGCCUGCAUCAAAUUUAAUUUAAAUCUAAUACCAAUAUAUUAUACGCGAAAACUAGACAUCGAGUGGAAAAUAAAAUAAAAUGAAAAAGCAAGUCAUCCAAGCAAAAUGUAGAUGUUGCAAGUAUUUACAAUGUUCCAACAACAAAAAAAAUGAACCUAACGAAUAUUUUGCUGAAUAUUUUGGCAAUUGGAAUGUUGUUCGAUCUCGUGACAGAUUCAGAAUUAUGCCGAAUCCUUUUAUAGCCAAGUAUAUAUUAUGACUUAAUAAAAGUGCAUUUUGUAUGAAGAAAGAUGUUUUUCCAUGAAAUACAUUUUCUUAGAAAAUGUUUGCUUGAAAUAUAAGUGAUUUAUUUUAGGUUAGUUUUUGAUAAAUAAGUGAAGAAUGUUAUAAUCUCAAAAAUAUUUAAAUUUAAUUUCACGAUAAAAUGGGUUGGAGAAUGGGGGCGGAAGGGCUAAAAUACUCAAAAGAUAAAGGGUUGUGGAUGUUGGAAAUCUUCCUUUUGAAAUAAUCGAUCAGUUUUUUUUUUUUCAUUUUCCUAAAUUUCUUAUCUUGUUUUAAAUUAUAUUUUUCGUUCAUUUUUAUUUGUUAAUUGUUAUAGUUCAUUUUAUGAAAGUCAAUCAAAUGAAUUUCAAAGUUAAAUUAAAGUAGAUUAAUUUAUUAUUUUAAAUUAAAUUUAGAUAUUUAAAAAUUAUAUAAAAAUAUAAGUUACUAUAUAAUCCUUCUCAUUAGUAUUAUAUAUAAGAGACAAAUCAAGGAAUUUGGUAGUUCCCACAAAAAUUUUCAAUUAAAUUUCAAUCUUUUCAAUUAAUUACUUUUUUGUCAUGAUCUUAUCUUUGAAAUCAAAUUUACUUUUUGUCUUUAGAGUUUACUUUUAGAAGUUCUUUUACCUGAUCAUUUUGAACGUGUUUUUUAUUUUUCAAUUCUUUAUUUUCUGAAUUUAUAGACAUUCAUUGACAUGAAUUACUAUUCAGAAGCCAUGUUUAAUUCUUUAUGCAUAAAGUGGAUCAUCAUUUUUCUUUUAGAAAAAACCUGACUUAGUAAACAUAAACACCUAAUUAAUUUAUUCAGACUAAGUUUUAAUUAAUUAUAAUUCAUAGUCUAAUUUAACUGUACUGCAUCCUCUCCCUUGCUAAUACUCUCCUUCCAUCUCUCCCAAUCUCGUUGUAUAUCACUAUAUUUGUAUCAAUUAUAUUCGUUUCUUAUAAUCAGCUACAUAUGAUUGUAUUUUUAUAUUUUCUUGAAUUUAUAUUUAUAUGGUCCUAUAUUAUAUAUAGUUUAAUCACAACAUUUGUAUAUAAUAAAAUCAAAGUAUCAGAUUUUUGUUCAUUUUAUAUUUGCUAAUACAAAUACGAUGGAUGACAGUUUAUAUAAAUACAAUAGCUACACCGGCUACGACUUGUAAUUUUUUAAACCAUAGUUAUGCAUGCCUAAUUUUUCCUAUAUAUAUGCUGUUUUGAAAGUUUUCCUUUUUAAAAAAAAUAAAUUCUAUACGAACUUUUGUGAUUGAUUUAUAUAAUAACUGUUUAUGAAUCUCUUUAUACUCUUUAUUGAAUUAUUUUUUAAUUCUUCAUCUCAAAAUAUUUAAUAUUAUUUUUCACUUUUUGAGGAUCAACUUACAUAAAUUUUUAUCAAUAUUUUGAAAUUAUUUUCACUAUAUUAAUGGGAGAAUUGAUAUUUAUAAUACUUUUCAUAUAAUUUUUUAAUAUUUAAAUUUUAAUUUAAAAUAUUAUUUAAUCUAACUCAAUUUAACUUUAAAGAUUAUGCAAAUAUCUUUCAAAAAAACAUGCGGUGAGAUGAAAAAAGUAUAUUAUUUAAUCUUCAUCGAGUUGUAAAUAUUUUACAUGCUUCAAAGUUUAAAUCAUAUUAUUUUAUAAAAUAUUAAAUUACUUGUAUGUCGUUUUAGGAUAAUCCUUUCCCAUUGUUGAACUACCACAUGAAAAAAACUCAUCAAAUUAAGAAGAGUAUAUUAAGAAUCCAUUUACAAUUAAUCUUUUACCCCAAAAGCCAUAUGUUUCCUCAACUAUUAUAUAUACUUCCCCAAGGAAUUUUUCGCAAACAAUACUCCUAACUCACACCCCAAAAGCUAGCUCAUGAAAAAGAGGAUUGCUCAGCUCAAACCUAAUAAGGAGAGCAAGGACCUAUAAUCCCACCGAUGUGGGAUACCAACACACCCUCGGCACGCCCAAGAUUGGACAACUGGAAAAUAGACAAUAUAAAAUGGAGGGUCCAACAUUGGAAACAAAUGAAUUGGGUGGGCCUGGCUCUAAUACCAUGUUAAAAUUAGUCUUGAACCAAACUCACACCCUAAAAGCUAACUCAUGAGGAGAAGAAUUGCCUAUGCCUUAUAAGGUGGCCAAGAACGUUAUAACCCGCCGAUGUGGGACACCACCAAUAAUAAAUAUGUUGAUGUUGUUGUUAGUAGGUUUAAGUAUACUUAAGAGGGAGAGUGUAAAUCAUGAUCAAUUUUUUUUAUUAGAAAGAUCUCAUUACUUAUUUUAAGUGUCAUUAGCGUAAGGGGGAUUAAUUAAUUAAUAUGGUUUAAUUACGUCUCGACUUGUAAAACAAGAAAAAGACUUGUAUGAAACUGAAAAUUUUAAAUAUAUGUGUACAUGAAUUUCUUGUGUCAAAUAAAAUGUAUACUCCCUACGUCCCAAAUUAGCAGCUCCAAAUUGAGAUGACACAUUGAUUAAGAAAAAUAAUUAAUAAAAUGGCUAGUUUACUAUAAUACCCCUAUUAAAUGAUAUUUACAUUUUAAUUUGAAAAAAAAUAAUUACUGCAAAAGGUAAAAUAAGAAAAAAAUUUCUGUUAUUUCUUGAUUAAUGAAAAAAAAAGUAAAAUGAGAAAUUAAAUUAGAAAAUUUGAGACGGAGAAAGUAUUUUAUAUGCAUGAAUUUGUAGUGAGAGGCGCAUUUCUUCUACUAGUAUUAAUAUAAAAACAAAUACUCCUCCUGUUUCAUAUUAUUUGGCUCCUAUGAAUUUGACCCUCUCAUUAAGAAAAUAUUAAUUAAGAGGUUUAUUUUAUCAAAUUAGCUUUACUAAUUAUAUUUUGAAAAUAUAAAUUUGAGUAAAUACACUUUAUUUAGUCAUUUAAUGUUAAGGGUAGUAUUGGAAGAACAUAAUAAAAUUCUUUUGAUUUCAUCAAAGAAACAACUAAAUUAAAAUAAAUAUUUUUUAAAAAAAGGCCAACUAAAAUGAAACGGAAAAAUUAAUAGUAGGAUAUCUUAAAUUAUUAAUCAAACUUUAUUUAAUCCGUAAUCAAACACCGUCAAAAUAGAUUUCAAACCACGUGCAUGGGUUGGUGGCCCAGAAAUUAAUGCAUGUAGAAAAUGUCAAACGGUCACUUAUCAGUUUACUUAUCCAAGACUCUUCCAACUUGCCCUGCUGCCACGCAAAAGAAAAAAAUCAUUAAAAAUAUUAUCCUUCUUACCAAACAGAAAUUGUGGGGAUAUUGAGAAAAAAUGAGUUUUCUAAUAAAAAUAGAAAAUAGAUUGUAUAAAUAGAUUUUCAUAGUACAUAGCUUCUUUUAGUGGCGGAUCCAUGAAAAUCACACUUCAAACCAUUGCAUCUAAUCAUGUGUUUGUUCAUUAGGUGUAUUUUAAUAUUUUAUAUCAUUUAUUCUAUAUUUUUUAUAUAAUUACAUCUAAUCUACGUCUAGUUUAGUGAGCAUUGAAGUAUUCGAAAAAUACACAUGGAUCCGCCCCUGACUUCUUUUCACCUUUUGACAGACCUCAUCUUCACUCUCCGAACUUAACUCCAACCCCCCGCCACCCCCUUUCUCACCAAUCCAUACACUUACCGCACCCACUCCCUCAUCUCACUUAUGGACGAAGCCACCUUAGACAAAGAACAGUUUGGUACACACUAUAUAUUCAUCAAAAAUUUAUUAUGUUCAUAUUCUAAUGAGGUUAAAUGUUAAUUAUUAUGAAUGUACAAUUAAAAAAAACUUUAUAUACUCUUCAUCAAUAUAAUAUUUUCAAUUAUAUAUUGAGUUAAAAAAAAUAAGUGUGCGUAUAUUUCUUUCGGAUCCAAUACACCCAAUAUCAUAUACAAUCAAUGUUGAUAUAUAAUUAGAUAUGAAAAAAAAUACAAGUAGCAUAUUUAAGUAUUAAAUUAUAAAAAAUAGUAAUACUUUUAUUAAAUUAUAUUUUGUAGCAUAUUUAUUUAUAUUUUUGUAGCAAUAAUUUGCAAAAAUACAAAAUAUAUAUCGAUUAUAAGGGCAGUAAAAAUCACAUAUAUUUGUAUUUUUGUAGCAACAGUUUGCAAAAAUAUAAAAUACAACUUGAUAUAUUAUGUAAUUAUGAAACUAUUGCUAUGAAACUCAAAAUUAAGGGGAUAAGUAUGCUAUUUCUGAAUUUUUCCCAUUAGAUAUUGUACAUAUACUAAUAAGAAGGACAUGAACUAGCCAUUUUAAAAAAAAAUGGCCCAUGGUUUAAAAAUGUGGACAAUUGCAGCUGGUCGGUCCAAUUUAAUUUUCUUUUUUAGUCAUUUGGCCCAAUUGGGCACAUGCAGUCUCUAUACUCAAUUGAUACACUUUUAUACCACAUUGAGAUACUUUUAUACUAUAUUGAUACACUUUUUUAAAAAGAGAAAGGAAAUUCUAUGCAAGCACCUGCAGUCCCUAUACCCAAUUGAUACUCUUUUAUACCACAUUAAUAUACUUUUAUACUAAAUUGAUACACUUGCAGUGUCCAUAUACUCAAAUUGAUACUCUCUUAUACUAGAUUGAUACAUUUUUAGAAUGCAUGUCGAAACUAUCUAGAGAGAGUCGUAUAAAAUAUGUAUCUAAAUAAUAACUGUAGUUAAAAAUUGUAUAGAAUGUGUAUAAAAAUGCUAUAAUUAAUGUAUAGAAUAUGUAUAUAUAUAGAAACUGUAUCAUUAUUAUAUAUAAAUAUAUAUCUUUAACAAUUGUAUUAUAUUAAAAGUAUAUGGUAUUGUAUUUUAUUGUAUAAAUAAGUAAAACUAAACAAAACAAAUAGUAUAUUAUUUUAAUAAUGUUGGUGAAUGCAAACUAAUAUAAAAAAAAUUGUUUAAAAAGAAUAAAAAAGAGUAGAAUAAGAAAAGGAGCCAAAAAAAGCAUCAACAAAAAUUUUAAAAAAAGAAAAGAAAAGAAAAAGGAAGGUAAGAACUUGACCUAGAAAAAUUAAACCAGUGAAUAUCUAAACAUUGUCCACCAAAAGAAGGUUAGAAAUUGGGGUAUCUAUUUCUAAACCAUUCGGUUGGAAUUACUUUCCACCGAGUGGUUAUUUAUCGGAUUUUAAAAUUUAGGUGUUAAUUUUAUGAAAUUAUUUUAGUUUUAGGUGUUAUUUUUGUCCUUUUUCUUCUUUUUUUUAAAGAAAAAUUAGCCCAACUAAAAUUUACAUAUAUACACUAAAUAAAAUUGCUUUAUUACAUAAUAUACCAAUUUGGUAAAGUAUUUACACAUAUCCCAAAAUAUUUACAUAAAUUCCUUUAUUUUCAACUUUCUCUUUCUUAAACAUUAUACAUCUCUCAACAGAUUUUCUCUUCCGUAUUUUACUCCUCCAUAUCCUCCCACAACACCCGAUUUUUACUCCAUAAUUGAACCCCCUUAUUCUCGGCAAAAUUGAAGAAUCGUGUAUCUAGGGGUUUCAACUAGUAAGUUAGAAGAUUUUUCUUUUCUUUUUUUAACUUUUUCAAUUUUUGAAGUUGAUCGUAUAUUGGGAUUGUUGCAUGUUUGUUUUACCUUACUUUGCAAGUAUUUUCAAGUUUCGUAGUUCGAUUUUUAUGUUUUCUUCAUAUAAUACUCUUGGUUUGUAGCUUUUUUUUUUUUUUUUUAAAUUUACCUAUUUUUGUAUUUUUCAAUUUAUUUUAUGAAUGUAUGUUUGUUUAUAAGGAUUUACCACAUUUUUGCAAGUAUUUUUAAGUUUUGUAGUUGAUUCGGAUCGAAUGUAUUACUGAAAAAAAUUGGUAAUAGAUUCUUGUCCUAACUUUAGUUUAGGACUUAGUCAGUUAGAUUCUAAAAAACAAGAUAUACCCGUUGGGUUUGUUCCUGGUACAUUUGAUUUAGAAGAACCCAAUUUCACAGAGAAUCGUUCAAAGCAUCGAAACGAUCCGACAACAAUGAAGAGAUUGAAGGAAACGACCACUUCCAUAUCAAAGAAAUCAAGUUCAAAAACGGCCAGUAAGAAGAAGUUUGAUGAUUCCCGUAGACCACGUCUUUCGAAGAUAUUGAUUAAACAUUGUACUUUACUUACGUUGCAACAUUAUUGUCUAAUAUAGUGGAACAUAGAAUUUUGUGCAACACUAAUGUAUAAUAUUACUAAUAUGUUAUACAUUUCAUUUUUUUUAUACAUUGAAUAUUCUUAUUACAUAUUAGAAGCAUUUGGAACUGGGUGUGUUAUUAUACAUUUAUGAAGUCUUCCUUUUGUAUAAGGUUUUAUUAUACAGUCUGACAACAUUGUAUGUCAUAUAUGUUUAAGGUGAAAUGUUUAGUCUGACAUUAUAUAUUGCAUAUAUUUGAUUACUAAUGUAUAAUUUUAUUACAUAAAUUUUAUUAUACAUUGCUUUUCAUACUAUAUUAUACAUAACAAGUAUUGUAUGGUUUAGUUGAUAUUAUACAUUUAGGGAGUUAUACAUUUCAUUUUUUUAUACAUUGGAUGUUCUUAUUACAUAUAAGAAGCAUUUGGAACUGAGUGUGUUAUUAUACAUUUAUGAAGUCUUCCUUUUGUAUAAUGUUUUAUCAUACAUUCUGACAUUUAGGGAGUUUUCAUACUGUAUAAAGUGACAUUAUACAUCUGAAUAGCUGAUAUGUCAUACAUUUUUGUAAGGUGAACUAGUUUAGUACGCAACAGUAUACAUUAUUGCAUCUCAAACAUUUGUAACUUUUUGUGUAAUUAUUGUAUUAUUUUAUUAUUUUAGGGCAUGAAAUACCGUAUAAAUAAAGUCCCGGAGCACCCUUUGCAUAUUUUGAGCUCAUGCAAUCGUGAUUUUGCUGAAGACAUAAAGUCUUAUUUUGGAGAUGAUAUUUUUAGGACAUUUAGAAAUACGUUAUUUGGGAUUUGCUUGACCUUCCGUAGUGCAAUUGGAUUAGGUAGAUUUCAAAAUGUAUCCUUAUGCUAGAAAUCCAAUAAUAUAUUAAGGACGAGAUACAUGUGUGUGUGCAGGGGAAGAUUUUAAAAUUUAUCAUGAAUUUGUCAUUAUCAGCGGCCUGACUGCACCGAUGAUAUUGAUGAGUUUAUGUAUACUUCAUCAUCAAAAUCCCCUUUGAUUUUAAAGUAUUUUUCUAAAUCUGGAGGUGAUAUAACUAGGUCAAAACUGAUAACACGUGUGAAGAUAGGAAAUUUCAAGAACUCUGAAUAUGCUUUGAACUUUGCGAUAUUAUAGUUUGUUCAUACAUUCAUGUUAUCUCAGCAUAAAGAAGCACCAAUUAGUGUAGCUCACUUUCAAAUGAACGAGGAUGGUCGGUACAUACACUUUUCAUGGGGAAAGAUAAUUUUUAAAAAGUUGAUCAACUCAUGGCGGCAAGAGUUUAGAGUCGUAAAGCAGUUAUAUUCUUUGGGUGGAAUGCCCCACGCUCUAAAUGGCUGGAUAUUUGAGUGUUGCUCUUCAGUUGAUAAAAAAAUUGCUUUGCGACAUGAAAACAUCAUCCCAAGAACACUUAACUGGUCUAUGGAGUGUACAAGGUCUAAGUAUAAAUCUUAAGUAAGGUAAUUAUAUAACAUAUUAAAUAUUUUUAUUUUAUACUCAACUUAUCGAAGUUUUAAUAUUUCAUUUUAAAAAUAAUUUUUGCAGUGUUCUUUCAAGAAUUUACAACCUACAAGUGAAGAAGUUCGUACUUUAGAUUUGUCUUUCUCUGAGGAUUUUGUGAUUUUUGAUCCAAUAUCUGCUGCUUCCACUUCUGUUGCUGCAACAAUGCAAACAUCAGGCGAUGAAGAUCAAUCGCGUGUUGUCACUGCAGAUGACGAUUAUGAUGAUUUCCCCACUGGACCUACUCAGGAAUUUCUAUAAAAGGCUCAUUUGGCUACACCUUUAUCAACUAAACAGCCAUCCAAAAGAAGUAAAACAGUUAUGUUUCAGGAAGUUAGUUCAGCUGUGACAAAUGCACAAAAAUCAACAAGUUCUCAUUCAGUACGUCACGUGUCUGGUAUGUUUUCUAAAAUACAAUAACAAUUAAUAGAUAAGCUACAAAUUCGUGUGUCUGAUUUUGAUCAUCGUCAUCAAGUAGAAAUUGGUGUGUCUCCUGAGUGCAAACAAAUCAAGUCUGUUCCUUCAUCUUCCACAACGCCUGAAGGAACUUCUAAGUCUAAUUUAGAUAUGGAGCAGAUAAAGAGUUACAUCAAAAUAUAUGUAAGUUAAUUUUCUCAUUCACAAAUUAUUAUUUUUGAAAAGUAUUACUUGUUUCUAAUAUCUUAUUGUUUAUCUGUACGUUAUAAGGUUGAUAAGCAAAUUGCUGAGCUGAAAACACUAAUCUCCAAUAUACCUGCUGAGGUCGUUAAAGCAUUGAAGAAAGAAGAGAAUAAAGAAUCUCCGGUAUAAAAUAAUUUUCCUUCAAAUUUUUAAUACUUUGAAUAAAUACUCAUACAUUAGAAUUAUUCAUGAUAUAUAGGAGGAGAAAAUUGUUCAUCAACGAGAAGGUGUACAGGGAGGCUAAAAAAUAAAUGACAGUAUUAAUAAGAAUGAGUUGCGGGCAAUUUUAAUCUACAUUACAUUGUCAUGUUACUAUUAAUCUGUAUAACUCCAACAUCUUAACCUUUUUUUGUUUGGUUCUUAUACAGCAUGAAGAUGAGUACACCAGACCAGUCAUUCACAUAACAAAUGAUGAACCAUCAGUAAUUGAAACUUUGGAAACAGAUCCAAGAUUGUGUCCACAUUCAUACUGAAUGUCCAACAAUAACUGAGGUUCAAUUCAAACAGAAAGUAUAUAUAUGAUAUGUAUAAAUAUGGUUAUACAUUCACAACCAUGCAUAAUAGUUAUCAAAUUAUAAAAAAAAUAUUUUCAUUCAUCAAUAUAUAAAUUGAAUUAAAUGUAUAGACAUCCUAUUGUCAAUUUUUUGUAGGAUGAGCACAUGAAUGAUAAAGAAGAGGGACAUGAAGAAGAAUCGCAAAACACUCACAGUAAUAAUAUGAAAGAUAUAUCGAUACAUUUUUGUCUCUCAUGUUGGUUUGUUCUUAGAUGAGAUGAAUCUCAAUAUUUUAAAACGCUUUACUUGUAGGCUGUUACAGUAUUAUUAUGCAUACAUUUGAAUGUAUAAUGAUAUGUUAUACAUUAUUAAUACUGAUAGUCUAUUUGAGAAAAUGAAUGUUCUUUAUGAAUAUCCUCAUACAUAUCUAUGUUACUUACAAUUAUUUAUGUAUGAACAUUGCUCAAUAACAACUCAAACAAAGUGUGAAUACAUUCAUACGCACUCCUUACAGACACCAUCUGCAAAUCAGUAUUAUAAUAUUUUUCCCUUUCCAACUAGUGGUUACUUUGAUUAAAUGUUCAUACCUUCUAAUUAUCACUUAAUUUAGGUUGACCUUAUCCCUGAUAAAGAGCAAGCUGGUCUUGAAGAUUUGGUGAAAGAACAUGGUCCUGUGAUGGUAUCUUUGUUGUUAUUUUUUCAAAACUCUUGCUGGUUUAAUUUACAUCGUAAUACUAUCUUAUUUUGAGACUAUUUUAGUUUCAUUAUACAUUCAUUUGAAUGUAUAACAUUAUGUUAUAAAUAAAAUCAGCACAUCACAAAUACAUAUGCAUUUGUUAUACAUUUCAAUUUCGAAUCAUCAGUAUAUAUUUUUUUAAUUAAACUACGUAUCACUUUGAAUAAGCUUUCAUACAUAAUAAUUGUUAAUGAAUGUAGGAUGAGCAUAAUGCUGCAGAAGAAGCAGGUUGUAUUGAAGAAUUGAAUAUACAACAUAGCCCUGAUAUGAAAUAUUUAGAGGUACUUUUUUGGUUGUUCAUAUUAUUUUUUAACUCAAAACUUACAUGCUUAUACAUUCACACCCAUGCCUAAUACAUAUCAAAUUAUAUAAAAAACUUUUCAUUCACAAUUUUAUGACUUUUCAAAUCACCAUUACAAUUUUUUUUCACUGAACUAUGUCUUACUUUGAAUAAAUGUUCCGACAUUCUACUUAACUCUUAAUUUAGGAUGAGCUUAUGCUCGAUAAAGAGGAAACUAGUGUCGAAGAUUUGGGAAAAGAGCACAGUCAUGUGAUGAUACAUUUCUUGUUAUUUUCUGUUUUACUCCUGCUGAUUUAACACUUCAAAUCUAAAUGCAUAGACUUACGACACAUUACUAUUAAAAAAGGAUCAUAAUAUUCCUAUAUGCAUAUCUAAAAUUUUCAAUUUUCAUUCUACAAUGAUUUAUUUUUGUUUUGUUACUUCGUAUUAUGUACUUCUAUUAUUGGUCUUUAUUAAUUAUAGCUCAUAAUGAAUAUUUAACAGUAUAUGAACUGAUUCUACCUAAGUAUAGUGGAUUAUGUAUAAUGUACAUUGCAAUACUAUCCUAAUUUGGGAAUGUUCCAGCUUCAUUAUACUUUCAUUUAAAUGUAUAACAGUAUGCUAUACAAUCAUACAGAGUAUUAUACAUUCAUAUUCAAUUUUUACAUAUACAGAUUUCAAAUCACCUUAACAUAUUUAUUUUCUUACAUAAUGAUUUUAUUUAAAAUAGUAUGAUCAUAUUGUCGCAAAAGAAUCACGUUGUGCUGAAGAAUUGAACAAACAUCAUAGUACUAAUGUGAAGGGUUUGUAAAUAUUUUUUUGAUAGUUCAUAUGUUGUUUUUUAACUCAAAAACUAUCUACAUAAAUGUAGCUUCUGUUUAGGUAUAAUUAACGUCAUACAUUAAUAUGUUUGCUUUUACACAUAACACAUCAAUAUUUUUUCUGUAGGAUGAUGUCAAUGCCACAAUAAUGGAGUCUGUUCAAGAUGCUUUAGAUGUACUAUUAUUUGAGUUGUCAAUACCAUCAAAUACAAAUAAAUUCAAUGUUGUUACACCAAAUAUAGUGACAAAAAAUGACCACUUUCAGAUAGUCAGUUUCCACCUGAUUUUUCGGAUGCUCAAGUAAGGGAGCUUAAAGCACCAAAACACGUGAAGUCAAAAAAUCACCUGUAAAAAGAGAUCGAAAAAAGUCGAAGAUUUUUAGGUCACCAUACAUCAUAAAAUUUGGAUCGAGCUCUAAAGAUAAGGGCAGUUCUGCUAAUGAAGAGAAGCAAAUGUAUGCUUUUGAUAGUUGUACCAUUUACGAAGAUUUGUCUAAUCAAUUGAUUAGUGAUUAUUCAUAGUGACUUGAAAUUGGGUUACUCAAAUAUCAUGUUUCCAAGUAAGUUAUUUAGAUAGAUUUCUAAAUUAUUAAAAAUAGUACAGAAGAAUAAAUCUUGGAGAAGUCUAAUCCUUGAUUAUGUUACAGGAAACAAACAGACAAUCACUAUCUAAAAAAUGCUCCAGGAUUAGGUUAUUCUUUAUUGGACUUUGUUGUUGCACAAGCACUCUCAAAGAAUUGGUUCUACUUGAUUUCGCAACACGUGUUGGAAUGAUGAGGUAAAUUAAACUAAACUAUAUCAUGCUUCUUUAAACUUUUACUAAAAAUGUACUCAUUAUUACGAAAUAAAUAGAAUCUAAUAUAUGAUUACAUAUCAUACAUGUGGUCUCAUGUAUAACCACAUUUUAAACAUGUCAUGGUAACAGAUCAUACAUUCAUUAUCUUUGUUGAAAACAUAAUAAUAACUAUAACAUAUGACUUUGUUUUAUGAUUACAUAUUAUACAUGUGGUAUGAUAUAUAAUCACAUUUUAUACAUGUUAUGUUAACAGAUCAUAUACUCAUGUUCAUGACCAAUACAUAAUAAUAACUAAAAUAUAUGCCUUAGAAUCAGUUGUAUGGUUAAAUAUCAUACAUGUUGUGUGAUUUAUAAUCACAUCAUAUAAAUGUAAUGAUACUAGAUCACUAAUUCAAGUUCUUAAGCAAUACAUACUAAUAACUAAACAUAUGCAUUUUUAUUUCAGUGUUUAACAUAAUCUUACCCUUUUUAACAUGUAGCACUUAGAUGUGAUAUUCUACCAUUUGACAAAAAAAUCAAAGUUGCAACAGUGUGAUACAUAUAGAUAUACGAAAAUCAGCUGCUUCUUCAAAACAUAUAUUGAAAAGACAUACGAACGAUAUUUUCCAACAGUUAAAGCAGAGCAGAUAUCCACGCAAGAAAACUACGUAAAAUUCGUUGCUUGUUCUUCAAAUGAAAUUGAUAUAACAAAUAUAAUUAAUGGAUUCUGUAAUCCUGCGAAUUUACCAUGGCAUUUGGUUGAUGAGGUAUAUGUUCCUGUUAACUGUGAAAAAGAAUAUCACUGGGUAUUGACUGUAAUUGUGUUAAAGAAAAGAACGGUACGUGUGUAUGAUUCAUCGUCAAGCAAAAGAAAAAAUGAACCACCAAUCGAAAUACGAAAUUAGCAGCCAUGCUGCGUACUUACUUGUCGGACAGUGAUGUUUUUCAAAAGACUGAAAGAAUUGACUGGUCAACACUUAAAGCGUACGAAGGGAAGCUUGGUCUGCAAACUGGAGAGAUAAGUCACAACCCAUUUGAUAUUGAAUACGCCAAAAACAUUCCACAACAAGCGUCUGAUAGUUUGUAAGUGUCUUUUACUUUUUAAAUUUUAACAUAUAUAAUCAUGGUAAAUUAGUUAAAGGAAUGGUUCUUUCAUUUUUUUAAAAUAUCAGGGACUGCGGGGUCUUCGUGGCUGCAUAUGCAGAAAUAUUGAGUGAAGGGCAGCAAGUCCAUUCAUGUGAGUUUGAAGGUUGCAAGUCAACGUGCAUGAUAUGCUUCGUUACUAUGGCAUUACGGAGUGAUGAAGACAAAGAAAGGUUAUACGAGUGAUAUUGACGAUCCUCCUCGGCCAAAAAAUACUUUUGUCCAAUCACCUGAUGAAAGUGCAAUUGUUACUUUGGAGUAGCUCCUUCUAAAAAUAUUCUAAUUGCUUUUUUAGUUGUUUCUGCUAAAUAGUUAUACACAGUAAUAUUUUUUUGAAUGUUGAUUUUUACGCAACAUUAUAUGGGUGGCAGUUUUUGUUCUACUACAUUUACAUUUACAUAAACUCUAUUGUGCUUAUUCUAUAUUGUUUGUUAAUUAGUCACUUUGCCAAACAUAAUAUUACCAACACUGUAUAACAACAAUUUAUAUAUUAAUGAAUUAUAUAUAGGUAAAACAUUGUGUUUUUUUCCAGCAUUAAAGAAGUUAAUAUUAUAUUAUGAGUUAAUUAUACAUUGAACAAGUAUCAAUUUAUUUUUGAUAAAUUUAUUAUAUAACAUCAUACACGUUGACACUCUUUCAUUGCUGAAUUGAAAACAGCUAUGGCAUUCAAAAAAAUUUAAGAAGAAUAACAGCAGAUCGUAAAUUCUAAACAAACAAAAUGUAUUAGUCAUUUGACGUAAUACUGAUAAGAAAAUAAGAAAAAGUUUUAAUACCAUACAUACAUCUUAAUGUAUAAUCUAUACUCUUAACACAAAAUUCUUUGCUUUAUAUUUUGCUAGUUCUUAUGUUUUUUAAAAUCAUUUACUUUAAUAUCAUACAUGUUGUUAAUGUAUAAUAGUAUAGAAUACAUAAUAUAUAUAAGACAGGUUAAUGUUAAAUAUAUUAUACAUUAUAACUACAUAUUACUACGUUACAAUAAUGAGCAGUAAAGUCACAAAAUAUAAUAAUUCAAAACUGUAUUAUUUGGUUGCGAAAAUAUCAAACAUUAAGUAAUAAUUAAACAUCACAUAACAGUUAAAAACAUAAAAUAAACUUUAACAAGUAUCAACAAAAUAAAAAAAAAUGAUGUUCUGUAGUUAUAACCAAACGAACAAUUAGCAUUUAGAACAACAAAAUAAAAUCUGUAACUUUUUUUGGGGAAGAAACCUCACGUCCUAUGGUUGUGGCCUGCACGCCUGCAUUUACUGUAAUGAUUUGAACUUAUAAGUGAUUCACUAGAUUUCAAAUGCCUUCCUUUCUUUGGCCUCCUAGGAGGUCUUUUGUAUUUGGGUGGCAAAACUUCGUCGGCAUCAACAAAAUGUGAAACAAUCCAAUCUUUCAUCUCUGGCAUAGGAACUAUGGGGAGUUCAUAUGUCUUGACAAUGGUGUUUGGCCUGUACAAUUCUGAACAGUAACGUCCAUACUCUUUUAAAUCAAUAUUUAUACUCUUCAAAAUGCUAUUGCGUGUGCACAUGAAAUUUCAUCAAUUUGAUACCGACAACAGUUACACGUGUCAUGAUCAAUAUCAAUAAUGUACCUCCUUCCUGAUUCAUACACACAGUACAGAUAACUACCAGCAGCCUUAACCUGUUAACAAUGAUUAAUUUUAUACAGUAAAAAAUAUAUAAAUUAAUAACAAAUAUAAAGUAGAUUCAACUAUCAUAAUACAUACCAUCAUCCGUAAUGACUUAACUCCAUUAUCAGUUAGAAUUUCUUGAAAUCUUCUCCCAAACGUUGUGUUUGUAUAAGAUGCAAUUUCACUGUUCUUACAAUUCCAUGCAGCGAAUAGAAUCUUAACUUCUUCAAGGAAAUCUAAAAUAGGAAGUACUCUAGCCUCUACCAAACAACAGUUAAUACAUUCAACUAUAUUAGAGGUCAUCAUUCUACCUUUAUUAAUAGGAGAGUGACAUCGAGAUCAUUUAUCAUAUCCAGCUUUUUCCAGAUAUUCCUUAACCCUUGGAUCAACCUUUUCAACCUUUGACACAAUGUAAUCAAAAUUUUCUUUUCUAUACGCUUUAGCCAUGGAAUAAUAAAGGUCACUAAGUCUAUCUUUGCUUUUUCUAAAAUAUUUAUAAAUAUUUUUUCAUAAAUGUCAAAUACAUGCAAGAUGGGGGACAUUAGGAUAAACAAUGCUCUCGCCCUUUAUGAUACACUCAUUUCGAUCCGAUACAACACACAUAUUGUCCCGUUUUCCAAAUGCUUCUUUAAAUUGAUGAAAAAAUUAAGUCCACGCAUUGUCAUUUUUUGAAUUCACAACACCAUAAGCUAAUGGAAGAAUACAUCCUAAACAAAAACAAACAAACAAAUUUAUAUGUAUAGUUCUAUAAUAUGUGUACACCACUGAACAGGUUUCUAAUUAUUUUACAUUUAAGUAAUACAUGACAUCAUACAUGUUGUCCCACCUUUAUCACUUAAUUGAAAACAAGUACAAAUAUAUAACAUCACACAUUUUAAUAACGUAUAACAAUACAUCAUACAUUGUAAAAAUACUGCUAGGAAAUUAUACAUUUAAUUAUUAGUAAAUGUAUGAGACAUUAAACGUAAAAUUGACAAGAAAAUAUUGAUAUUUUACAACAUCAUACAUACACCAUAACGUAUAAUCGCUAAUCAUACACAUAUCACACAAAUCAAAAUCUACUUAAGUUUUACUUAUUCUGUUUUAAAAUGAAAAUGCAAUUUAUAGAGUUGUUUAAACAGAAAGUAGCAUCUACUUUAUAAAAAAAAUUAAUAACACAAAAUAAAAGGCAUAAAAUCAGCUACUUGGUGAAGUACUAUAUGUACUCACUAAGCAAGUCCAAAUUUUAUUAUACAUACAUGGGCAACAUACAAUCAGCUAUAAUUCAUGCACAAUGCUGAAAUAUCAAAGAUGAAAAUUUUAAAGUAUGAUACCUGCACCAUCAAGAGUGCUCGCUGAUACAAACGUUCCUUGAUAUGGCCCGAUUAAAUGAGCACCAUCUACAACUACUAUUGGAUGGCAAAAUUUGAACCUCCUAAUCAUUGGAUGUAAGGCAAUAAAUAAGUAUUUAAACUCGUUAUCUAAUGUCUUAUCCAUCCGAAUGUAUGAUCCAGGAUAUACCUGGUUCAACAUAUAUAUAUAACGGGGCAUUUUUCGAUAUCCAUCAGCUGGUCCACCUCUAAGAAUCGCAAUUGCCUUUUCCUUUGCCCGUCAAGCCAUCAUGUAGUUAAUAUCAACACCAUAGACGACCUUCAUCUCUUCAAUUAUGUCUGUCGGUGUAUGUAUUCUCUUGUAAUUAAUUAACUUUGGUGCAGUAAAUUCACUGACAAAGGCUGUUGUUGCAACCAAAUUAUUCAGUAUUCUAUCACUCAGACUGCAAUUAUGUUUCGAAUCAAAUAUCUUUAUCGCAAAAAUUUCCGAAUGAUUCAUCGAAUAUGCCUUUAGAACACAUUUGCAAUCUUUGACACGGCAGUGUAACACAUAGCUGCAGUUACAUUUUAAAACAUGUUGUCAAUUUAUUAACGUACAUAUAAAUUCAAUAAUUUAAGUCAAAAUACCAUAAUUAAAUUGUUAUAGUUUUAUUAUACAUUCGAAUGAAUGUAUAAUGGCAUAUUAUACAUUGUAAAUAAAACUCCAUUUUGUGCAAACAGCAAAACCAGAAAUUGAAGUCAACAAUGAAACUCCAUUACCAAAGGCUAUUACAACACAACAACAUCCUUCACAACAUCUACAAAUAAAAAAUGAUAAUUUAUUUCAUACCUUUGUUUGUCAGAUCAUUUAGUAAAGGUGUUGAAGCCAUUCGAUAUCGCAUAUUUCGCCAUAACCGAUACCAAAGUUUGCUUAUCCUUAUAACGCUGGUUAACUUUUAUUUCAGUGUUCUUCAAAUUCCAGAACGUAUAAUGAAUAUUGAUUCUGAGUUUCAACAACAGUUAAAGCAACUGAAUCAGAUUCACUACCUUCAAUACACAUUACAACCCCAGUUUUACUAUCAAACUCGAUAUCCUUAAUCGAUUUAUUGAAAGUUUGUAUACAUAGCGAAAAAUUUAUAAUUCCAGAACCUUGUUUCUUCAACUCAAUAUAAACCUUCACUCCAUUAUCAUUUCUUAUGAUAAUUGGAGAAGAAUUACCAUCAACGAUGUAUUUUACUUCAAUUUUUUUCGUACAUCGUCAAUACCCAAUUCCAUCAUGAUUUUCGCAAUCAAUUUCAAAAAGUUAAUACUUUCUGAAAUAACAAUGGCAUCACUUUUGUAUGCUUUAAAACUUAUUUCUGCCUCCCAUACACCAGAAUGACGCAAACAUAUUGGGAUGUUCAUCUUUUUUCUCACAAGAAAUCACGAACAAAAUUUUUUUUCUUCCGAAUCGUAAAUCAAAAAAGAAGUCAAUUAGAGGUAAAGUUUAAGAGUUUUUUUUUUAAAUUCAAAUAUCAGUUACUAUUUUAACUCAUACAAUAAUUAACAUCAGGUAAUUAAAUAGCGUAAUUUAAGAAGUAGGGAUACAUUUACUAAUUCUCAAUCUCAUAAUUUUAGGUUAAUCAGAUUUAUGAUACAUUCAACGAACGUAUAACUACCAUCCGAAUGUAUGACAAUAUUUUACAAAAUAAGGAGAGAGAAAAUUUCAAGGGAGAUUAUGUAAAUAGUUUUACUUUAUGCGAUAUAUAUAUAUAUAUAUAUAUAUCUAUCUAUAUAUAUAUAUAUAUAUAUAUAUAUAUAUAUGUGGUUUAUACCGUCUAGAAAUGGUGGUGCAAAUAUACUCUUCGAUAUAGUCAAAUGUUUAGACUUAAAUGACGUAUUCAAUGACUCUUUUAGUGUACUAUCAAGUUUAAAUAAGAGGCCAGGACAAUCUCGUCAAUUUUCUUUAAAACUCGAGAAAAGUCUUCCAGAAAAUGACCUAACAAUACAACAAAAAAAAUUCUUCUUUCCUUGCUCUAAUAGAGUUUACAUUAUAUAUACAUUGAUGGCAUAAAAUAUUCAUAUAUUAUCAAUUCAUCUUUAAAAUGUUUAUAAUUAUUUAACUGCAUUUAUUUUUAUUACGUCUAAAAUGAUGAAAAUUUUAAUGAUGUUUUCCAUAGAAUCAGUCAGAAAAUGUCCGACGAGCCAAACUUCAACGAAUUUUCGAUCGGACACUAAAAAAGAUUUUCAUAUGACAAUUUUGUUCCACAAUAGGAUGUUUCUUGGGCACCGGCCGAUAUUUGUUACAUAUAACAACUUAAUUAUCUGCACACUGAUCUUUUAUGGUUAUUUACAAAUUGUAUAAAGGAAAAUUAUCUGUUCGAAUUUCGUAUAUGUAAAAAUAAAGAUCUUUUGUAUAAAGAACUUACGACGAAAGAUAAGAUUAUAAAAGAGUGCAAAACCAAAUCUUUCUUAUAAUUUAUUGCUAAUCUUUGUCAAGAUUAACAAUUAUGAAUUAGCGAAGAAUCUUGUUAUUUAGCUAAUAAUUAAUCCGUCCAUCGUUGUUUUCUAGCACUGAUAUUCGAGUUUUAAUAUCGUCCAAUUUGUAAUUAUUCCCCCCGUCUUCUCUAUCGAUCGAUGAGAUGGCUGCAACUGAACAAUUGACACCAUUAAAAUUCAAUGAGACACCAAUACAUCUCAUAGGCUAAGUCCCUUUUAUGCUCCGAAGGACGAUCACUUUGUCUAUGACUACCUUUCUAUACUUCAAACCGUAUGCUAAUUGCUUCCUAUUACAUGGUAUGAGACUUGUAAGAGUGACUCCUGCACCUAACUCAACCAAAAGCUAGAUCAUGGGGGAGGGGAUUGUCCAAUUACAUAUAAGUAAAUCGUCAGUCCAUUCUCCAAUUUAUAAUGUGAAACUUUCACCACUCUUAACAAGAUUGAUUUAAUGCAAGUUAUGAUUUAUUUACAAAUUUGUUCAGGAAAUUCCUACAUAUUAGAACUUAUUCCAGAAAUAUUCCACAACAACAAUAAUAACAUAUAUACUCAGUAAAUUUUCAUAAGUGGGGUUUAGAAAGUACAGUGUAAGUUGAUCUUACUACUAUCUCAUGGAGGUAGAGAGAUUCUUUCUAAAGAACCCUUGGCUAAGUGUACCAACUCCAAGUUAAAAAAAAAAAAAAAGAAACAAACAGUAAAAAAUUUUAUGGAUUAAUAAGUAAAGCAACGCAAAGCCUACAAAAAAGGAAGAAUAACAACAAGAAGCUAGAUAAUAAGAAAAAAUAUUUAAUUAGGUAAAGACCAUAGAAUAGUUACUUUAAAAUAAGAGGAAAAUUGAACUUUAUAGAAACAUUUUUUGUUCAACACAAUAUCAUAUGUAUUGAGUAUCAUACAGAACAUUACAUGACCAUGACCAACCAUCCAUUGGAACACUAUUGAAUGGCUUUAUUCAUACAAGUAAAAGUUCUAAAGUAGCAAGAUUUUUAUGGUCUUUGCCACUUACAUAACAAAGCAUUACAUUAAUAAUACAUAAUGAAGCACUAAUUAAUUAGUUCUGAGGUUUAGAUCCAGUGUCUUUUUCCAUGGCCUUAUAUUCUUCAUAGGUGCAGCAAUGUCCAUGGCAUUUAUAAUGACAUUUUUUAGGUUUAUAUCCACCAUCAACUUCUACUUCCUGCUGUGAUUCAGUGGCUUUUUCCAUGGCCAUAUAUUCUUCAUAGGUGCAGCAAUGGCCAUGGCAUUUAUAAUGACAUUUUUUCUUAGGUUUAUAUCCACCAUCAACUUCUACUUCCUGCUGUGAUUCAGUGGCUUUUCCCAUGGCCAUAUAUUCUUCAUAGGUGCAGCAAUGGCCAUGGCAUUUAUAAUGACAUUUUUUCUUAGGUUUAUAUCCACCAUCAACUUCUACUUCCUCGUGUGAUUCACUGGCUUUUCCCAUGGCCAUAUAUUCUUCAUAGGUGCAGCAAUGUCCAUGGCAUUUAUAAUGACAUUUUUUCUUAGGUUUAUAUCCACCAUCAACUUCUACUUCCUCGUGUGAUUCACUGGCUUUUCCCAUGGCCAUAUAUUCUUCAUAGGUGCAGCAAUGGCCAUGGCAUUUAUAAUGACAUUUUUUUUUAGGUUUAUAUCCACCAUCAACUUCUACUUCCUGCUGUGAUUCAGUGGCUUUUUCCAUGGCCAUAUAUUCUUCAUAAGUGCAGCAAUGUCCAUGGCAUUUAUAAUGACAUCCUUUGUGUCCUCCACCUUUAUUAUAAUGGUCACCUCCAACACCAUCAACGUCUACUUCCUUCGCUGCUGCAUCGAUGAAUUGAGAAUAUUAAAACUUAUGCAUAUGCAUGUACUCACGACUGAUCUUUGAAUUGAAAUUUCAAUUUAUGUGUAGUACUUUUCAUUUCAUUUCGUUAUAGUUUAAGAUAAUUCCUCUUACUAUUAUAUAUAUUUAAAUAAAUUCUUAGUUUCAAUAUAAUAUGUUUAAAUAUUUUGAAUUGAAAUUUCAAUUUAUGUGUCGUACUUUUUAUUUUAUUUUGUUAUAGUUAAGAUAAUUCCUCUUACUAUGAUACAUAUUUAAAUAAAUUUUUAGUUUCAAUAUGAUAUGUUUAAAUCUACAAGAUUCAAAGGAUAUUUUAGUAUGUUCUAAACACAAUUUAGUUUUGUUUAGCAAGGAUUGAGAAGUUUAUGCUAUAUUCUUUAAAUUCAGGCAUAGUAACUGAGAAGCAUAAGGAAUAUAUAUUAAGUGUCAUGAUCAAGCUAGUGUUAGUAAAACAUUAGGUUAUCAUCUCACAUUUAUAAAAACUUACAAAUUUUAGUUUGUGGUCUAAUCUCAGAAACAACUUCUCUAUCUUGCAAAGAUUGGAGUAACAUCAACUUACAUAUUCUAUAUAUCUUCCGUAGUCUCUACUUAUGAGAUUACACUGAAGAUAUAGUGUGUGAUUUAAUUUUAAAUUUUCAUAAAAUUUUCAGAAUGCUCACAUUGAAUAUAAUUUUAAACAGUGGUUUAAAAGUUCUAUUAAGUAGCAUAAACAAUAAAAAGAUGACCAUUUACUAAAAGGAAAAGCCGAUUAAAAUAAGAUAUUAUCUUCAAUUAAAUGCUAGGAGUAGAACCUGUUAAAAUACUAAUAGCAUUUCACAUGCUGGACAUAUAUUUACUAUGUCACUAAAUUAAGAGCGAUAAAAAACGUGUAAAGUAAUGGAUAAAGAUAUGUUAAUAUGGCUAACGUAGUAACAUCAAUAGGUUUUUUUUUUUUUUUUUUUUUUUCCGAAUGAAUUCAAUUACGUAAAAAGAUAAUGAAAGAUAAUACUUAC
rnacentral:lncRNA from 1 species